rnacentral:rRNA from 1 species
CACGUAGGCGGAUCUUUAAGUCAGGGGUGAAAUCCCGGAGCUCAACUCCGGAACUGCCUUUGAUACUGAGGAUCUUGAGUCCGGGAGAGGUGAGUGGAACUGCGAGUGUAGAGGUGAAAUUCGUAGAUAUUCGCAAGAACACCAGUGGCGAAGGCGGCUCACUGGCCCGGUACUGACGCUGAGGUGCGAAAGCGUGGGAGCAAACA